GAUGAACGCUGGCGGCGUGCCUAAUACAUGCAAGUCGAGCGAACGGACGAGAAGCUUGCUUCUCUGAUGUUAGCGGCGGACGGGUGAGUAACACGUGGAUAACCUACCUAUAAGACUGGGAUAACUUCGGGAAACCGGAGCUAAUACCGGAUGAUAUUUUGAACCGCAUGGUUCAAAAGUGAAAGACGGUCUUGCUGUCACUUAUAGAUGGAUCCGCGCUGCAUUAGCUAGUUGGUAAGGUAACGGCUUACCAAGGCAACGAUGCAUAGCCGACCUGAGAGGGUGAUCGGCCACACUGGAACUGAGACACGGUCCAGACUCCUACGGGAGGCAGCAGUAGGGAAUCUUCCGCAAUGGGCGAAAGCCUGACGGAGCAACGCCGCGUGAGUGAUGAAGGUCUUCGGAUCGUAAAACUCUGUUAUUAGGGAAGAACAUAUGUGUAAGUAACUGUGCACAUCUUGACGGUACCUAAUCAGAAUGCCACGGCUAACUACGUG
rnacentral:rRNA from 1 species